rnacentral:rRNA from 1 species
AAACUUUCAACAAUGGAUCUCUUGGUUCCGGCAUCGAUGAAGAACGCAGCGAACUGCGAUAAUUAAUGUGAAUUGCAGAAUUCAGUGAAUCAUCGAGUCUUUGAACGCACAUUGCGCCCCCUGGCAUUCCGGGGGGCAUGCCUGUCCGAGCGUCAUU